rnacentral:lncRNA from 1 species
CUUGACACAGGGUCAUUUUGACAUGACCUAAAUAUCAAGCCAGUAAGUUGUCAGUGUGUAUUGUGAUGCCUUAGCAUGCUGCAGGGAGAUGGGGAGGGGGUGACGGGACAUGUGCAGUAGCAUCAAGGAUGGAGGAGGCUCAGGACUAAGACACAGAAUGAGGAGAAGGUCAGAAAUAGUAAAGGGUCAGGGAUACCAUGGUUGCACUCAGUACUGGAAAUCCACCCAGUUGGAGGAGAACUUAAAUGUGCUUCCUGGGAUGAGCAGCAGUUAUACAAUAAACAAGAAGAAACUGACUUGUUAA